CACGUAGGGCGCAAGCGUUGUCCGGAAUUAUUGGGCGUAAAGAGCUUGUAGGCGGUUUGUCGCGUCUGCUGUGAAAUUUCGGGGCUCAACCCCGAACUUGCAGUGGGUACGGGCAGACUAGAGUGUGGUAGGGGAGACUGGAAUUCCUGGUGUAGCGGUGAAAUGCGCAGAUAUCAGGAGGAACACCGAUGGCGAAGGCAGGUCUCUGGGCCAUAACUGACGCUGAGACGCGAAAGCGUGGGGAGCAAACAGG
rnacentral:rRNA from 1 species